rnacentral:rRNA from 1 species
UAAACGAUGUCAACUAGCUGUUGGGGCCUUCGGGCCUUGGUAGCGCAGCUAACGCGUGAAGUUGACCGCCUGGGGAGUACGGUCGCAAGAUUAAAACUCAAAGGAAUUGACGGGGACCCGCCCAAGCGGUGGAUGAUGUGGAUUAAUUCUAUGCAACGCGAAAAACCUUACCUACCCUUGACAUGUCUGGAAUUCCGAAGAGAUUUGGAAUUGCUCCCAAGAGAACCGGAACACAGGUGCUGCAUGGCUGUCGUCAGCUCGUGUCGUGAGAUGUUGGGUUAAGUCCCGCAACGAGCGCAACCCUUGUCAUUAGUUGCUACGAAAGGGCACUCUAAUGAGACUGCCGGUGACAAACCGGAGGAAGGKGGGGAUGACGUCAAGUCCUCAUGGCCCUUAUGGGUAGGGCUUCCCACGUCAUACAAUGGUCGGGACAGAGGGUCGCCAACCCGCGAGGGGGAGCCAAUCCCAGAAACCCGAUCGUAGUCCGGAUCGCAGUCUGCAACUCGACUGCGUGAAGUCGGAAUCGCUAGUAAUCGCGGAUCACCAUGUCGCGGUGAAUACGUUCCCGGGUCUUGUACACACCGCCCGUCACACCAUGGGAGUGGGUUUACCAGAAGUAGUUAGCC